UACGUAGGUGGCAAGCGUUGUCCGGAUUUACUGGGCGUAAAGGGCGUGCAGGCGGUUUGUUAAGUGCAGGGUGAAAGCUCCCGGCUCAACUGGGAGAGGUCCUUGCAUACUGGCAAACUCGAGGGAGGCAGAGGAAAGUGGAAUUCCCGGUGUAGUGGUGAAAUGCGUAGAUAUCGGGAGGAACACCAGUGGCGAAGGCGACUACCUGGCCUGUUCUUGACGCUGAGGCGCGAAAGCUAGGGGAGCAAACGGG
rnacentral:rRNA from 1 species